CGACCCUUAAGGGGGUAAAAUGGGGGUUGGAAGUUUGUGUGAAAGUCCCAUGUUUUUGAAGUAAGAGACUUGAAAUUUAAAAUGUAUGCCUUAUAAAUGAUAAAAAGGUGUACAAAUAAUGUAUCUUUAGAAAUCAACUCCCUUUUGGGGUUAAAACGGGGGAUGGUAGGUUGACUCACUCAUCAUAAAAUCUCCGAAAGUAUAACA
rnacentral:misc_RNA from 1 species